GAUGAACGCUGGCGGCGUGCCUAAUACAUGCAAGUCGAGCGAACAGACGAGGAGCUUGCUCCUCUGACGUUAGCGGCGGACGGGUGAGUAACACGUGUAUCACCUACCUAUAAGACUGGGAUAACUUCGGGAAACCGGAGCUAAUACCGGAUAAUAUCUUGAACCGCAUGGUUCAAUAGUGAAAUACGGUUUUGCUGUCACUUAUCGAUGGAUCCGCGCCGCAUUAGCUAGUUGGUAGGGUAACGGCUUACCAAGGCAACGAUGCGUAGCCGACCUGAGAGGGUGAUAGGCGACACUGGAACGGAGACACGGUCAAGACGCCUAAGGGAGGCAGCAGUAGGGAAUCUUAGGCAAUGGGCGAAAGCCUGACGGAGCAACGGCGAGUGAGUGAUGAAGGUCUUGGGAUCGUAAAGAUGUGUUAUUAGGGAAGAACAAAUGUGUAAGUAACUAUGCACGUCUUGACGGUACCUAAUAAGAAAGCCACGGCUAACUACGUG
rnacentral:rRNA from 1 species